AUCUUUGAGAAUAGCCAUUCCAAUUUCAAUAUUAUAUUAAUUUUGAGUAAAAAUCUAUUCUUUUUGAUUUCCACAAGAGAAUAUUAAGUUUUUGGUUCUUCAAGAUUCAUAUCCUUGAUAAUUUGACAAGAAUGAUAAUUCAUUGUUCUUAUCUUGUUUUUAGAAGUGAAUGAACUAUUCCACUUUUAUUGUUGUAUUUUGAAGGUUGUAGACUAUCUACCUUCAAUCUAAUAUUUUAAUAUUGAUUAUGAUGGCUUUGAUGGCAAGAAUCCUUGCUGAUCUCCAAGUAAAUUGCUUAAAAUCAGAAUUAUAGUUAAAACUUACAAUUAAAUUAACAAAUUAAUUAGUUUUUAUGAUUUAGAACUUGGAUUUGGGCUUGUGAGUAGUCAAUCUUAGGAUAAAAAUCUGUUUUAGAAAUACUAUUGGUAUUAAUUUUGCCAAAAAGGUGUUAAUUUCUUGACUUAUAGGUAUUUUAAGCCUUAGAAUUGAGUUUAGGCUUAAAGUAUUUCUAGACCCUUGAUCUUGGUUAGGGGUUUUUUGAUGUGGAUGGUAGAAAUGUAGUUGCUACUUUUUGCCUCCUCCCACUUGGUUAAGAGGGCUUGGAUGGCUGAACCCCCUCUCUCUUUUUCCAUCUCUCUCUAUCUUCUUGUGGCGAAGCCAUGGCAAAAU
rnacentral:lncRNA from 1 species